AGACCCGAAACCCGGUGAUCUAGCCAUGGGCAGGUUGAAGGUUGGGUAACACUAACUGGAGGACCGAACCGACUAAUGUUGAAAAAUUAGCGGAUGACCUGUGGCUGGGGGUGAAAGGCCAAUCAAACCGGGAGAUAGCUGGUUCUCCCCGAAAGCUAUUUAGGUAGCGCCUCGUGAAUUCAUCUCCGGGGGUAGAGCACUGUUUCGGCUAGGGGGCCAUCCCGGCUUACCAACCCGAUGCAAACUGCGAAUACCGGAGAAUGUUAUCACGGGAGACACACGGCGGGUGCUAACGUCCGUCGUGAAGAGGGAAACAACCCAGACCGCCAGCUAAGGUCCCAAAGUCAUGGUUAAGUGGGAAACGAUGUGGGAAGGCCCAGACAGCCAGGAUGUUGGCUUAGAAGCAGCCAUCAUUUAAAGAAAGCGUAAUAGCUCACUGGUCGAGUCGGCCUGCGCGGAAGAUGUAACGGGGCUAAACCAUGCACCGAAGCUGCGGCAGCGACGCUUAUGCGUUGUUGGGUAGGGGAGCGUUCUGUAAGCCUGUGAAGGUGUGUCGUGAGGCAUGCUGGAGGUAUCAGAAGUGCGAAUGCUGACAUAAGUAACGAUAAAGCGGGUGAAAAGCCCGCUCGCCGGAAGACCAAGGGUUCCUGUCCAACGUUAAUCGGGGCAGGGUGAGUCGACCCCUAAGGCGAGGCCGAAAGGCGUAGUCGAUGGGAAACGGGUUAAUAUUCCCGUACUUGGUGUUACUGCGAAGGGGGGACGGAGAAGGCUAUGUUGGCCGGGCGACGGUUGUCCCGGUUUAAGCGUGUAGGUGUGUGUUCCAGGUAAAUCCGGUUCACUUUAACACUGAGGCGUGACGACGAGGCACUACGGUGCUGAAGCAACAAAUGCCCUGCUUCCAGGAAAAGCCUCUAAGCAUCAGGUAACAUCAAAUCGUACCCCAAACCGACACAGGUGGUCAGGUAGAGAAUACCAAGGCGCUUGAGAGAACUCGGGUGAAGGAACUAGGCAAAAUGGUGCCGUAACUUCGGGAGAAGGCACGCUGACAUGUAGGUGAAGUGAUUUACUCAUGGAGCUGAAGUCAGUCGAAGAUACCAGCUGGCUGCAACUGUUUAUUAAAAACACAGCACUGUGCAAACACGAAAGUGGACGUAUACGGUGUGACGCCUGCCCGGUGCCGGAAGGUUAAUUGAUGGGGUCAGCGCAAGCGAAGCUCCUGAUCGAAGCCCCGGUAAACGGCGGCCGUAACUAUAACGGUCCUAAGGUAGCGAAAUUCCUUGUCGGGUAAGUUCCGACCUGCACGAAUGGCGUAAUGAUGGCCAGGCUGUCUCCACCCGAGACUCAGUGAAAUUGAACUCGCUGUGAAGAUGCAGUGUACCCGCGGCAAGACGGAAAGACCCCGUGAACCUUUACUAUAGCUUGACACUGAACAUUGAGCCUUGAUGUGUAGGAUAGGUGGGAGGCUUUGAAGUGUGGACGCCAGUCUGCAUGGAGCCGACCUUGAAAUACCACCCUUUAAUGUUUGAUGUUCUAACGUGGACCCGUUAUCCGGGUUGCGGACAGUGUCUGGUGGGUAGUUUGACUGGGGCGGUCUCCUCCUAAAGAGUAACGGAGGAGCACGAAGGUUGGCUAAUCCUGGUCGGACAUCAGGAGGUUAGUGCAAUGGCAUAAGCCAGCUUGACUGCGAGCGUGACGGCGCGAGCAGGUGCGAAAGCAGGUCAUAGUGAUCCGGUGGUUCUGAAUGGAAGGGCCAUCGCUCAACGGAUAAAAGGUACUCCGGGGAUAACAGGCUGAUACCGCCCAAGAGUUCAUAUCGACGGCGGUGUUUGGCACCUCGAUGUCGGCUCAUCACAUCCUGGGGCUGAAGUAGGUCCCAAGGGUAUGGCUGUUCGCCAUUUAAAGUGGUACGCGAGCUGGGUUUAGAACGUCGUGAGACAGUUCGGUCCCUA
rnacentral:rRNA from 1 species